rnacentral:rRNA from 1 species
GACGUAGGGCGCGAGCGUUGUCCGGAUUUAUUGGGCGUAAAGAGCUCGUAGGCGGCUUGUCGCGUCGACUGUGAAAUCCCGCGGCUCAACUGCGGGUCUGCAGUCGAUACGGGCAGGCUAGAGUUCGGUAGGGGAGACUGGAAUUCCUGGUGUAGCGGUGAAAUGCGCAGAUAUCAGGAGGAACACCGGUGGCGAAGGCGGGUCUCUGGGCCGUAACUGACGCUGAGGAGCGAAAGCAUGGGGAGCGAACAGG